UUCAUAUUUCACGAACCAAACUAGCAAAACUUAUAAGUGAUUGAACAACUAUUAAUUAGUAAAACAAGAACACUUAUCCAGGAAUUGGGAAUAAGUGCUGGGGCCCUGUUUAAUUGCAAACCAAAGUGACAAUUACGCGACAGUUUCUCUCCGCUAAUACGGGAGAGUUUUCGUCAACAAUGUAUCCCAUUUAAUGGGAUUAGAAGUUUGGAUACCAUAAUAAAGCAAGAAAACAUAUUAAUUUCUAGUCAUACAAUGAUUAAAAAUCAUAAUUAUAAAAUAUUUAUUAUCGAUUAAAUGUAAGAUAUUGUUGAAAUACAUAAGGUCCUUAACAUCUUAAAAUAACCAAUUGGAUGAUUGGAUAAUUUAAAGCAACUAUACAAACGUUGUUAAAGUUAUAUUUUUUAUAGUUAUUUUUUUGUUUUAUUUGGAAUUAGAAUUUAUUAGUCAAGGUUCAUUUAAGAUUUUAAUGUUAUUUUUAAUGCCUUAUAAUAAUAUUAUCUGUAGAUUUUA